GGUAAUUAGUUUAUUAAAAACCCAUGAUUUCGACUCAUUAAAACAUGGUACCUACCAUGAUUACCA
rnacentral:tRNA from 1 species